rnacentral:tRNA from 1 species
AGUGUAGCUCAAUUGGUAGAGCACCGGUCUCCAAAACCGGGGGUUGCAGGUUCAAGUCCUGUCACU